GAUAACUUCAUUUAUCUAUUAGAAUAUGAAAGAAAAAUUAAGUCUCACAAGAUUCUGUAAAGUAUAUUCUUAUGUUUUUCAGCAGAAAAGAGACCAGUAUCCUGAAUUUAUUUUGAUGGUCAAAAACUUAAAGGUACCAAAUUUUGUUUUCACUUGAUAGUAUUAUUUUACCAUUAAAAAAUUUUUUUUUGUCGUUGUUGUAGACGGACAGAAUGCCUUUAUUUGUUUCUCUUUAUGUGGUGCUAAGGAUUGAACUCAAUCCUCACACAUGCUAAGCAAGAGCUGAGCCACUGAGCUACAGCCCCAGCCCCUUAUUUUACUGUUUUACAUUGCAGAAAGCAAACACCCCAAAAUCUGAAGUUUCAGAAUAAUAACACCCCCAAACCUGAAGUUUCAGCACUACCUAUCAGCAUUAGUAAGCUAAUGGAAAUGUUUUUCUUUUCUGGCUAAUUCUCUGGUAUGUUUUGAGGAAAGUGGUUUAAGAGAUUAGUUUUAUCUCUUUCUUGAUAACUGCAACCUUCAGAAAAUAAAUGUUUAACUUUGCUUCUUCUGUGGCUUGUUCACCUGAAUUCAAGAAGAUGGAAUUUAAGCAGCUUUGGAAGGAGUGAGGAAUAGAGUUCUGGGAAUUCUUUUUUAUUGAGAAUCUCCUGUGUAGAGUUGUCUUAUAAAAUGGCUAUAUGAGAAAUCUAUAAAAGGAAGUUUUUUUAAUUUUAAAAACAUUCAUUGUUUUAAAAUUAUAUACAAGUUGUAAAAAGUUCAAAUUUUACAGGGAAGUUUUUUUUUUAAAGAAAGUGUAAUUAUCCAACCCUGCCCUUCUUCCCCCAUUUAGUGCAUAGUUGGAGUUAUUCCUUUUUCACCUUAAGUAAGGUAUUAUGAUCACUUAUUUAACAGAAGAGGGAACUGAGUCUCAGAGACAAAGUAAAUUGUUGAUGAUCACCUGGAUGAUAAAUAGGUUAAGAUUCAAACCCAUGUAUCUGAUCCCAAAGUUUCAUUAUUUCUGCUAUUCCAAAAAGUAUCUUAAGCAUUUGUUCCAUGUAGUUUAAAAUUACUGUGACAUAAAGUCUCUAAGUUUCAGCUUUAGAUUUAUGAUUUCUUUUGUAAAAUGUACAAAUAGUUUGCAAAUUAAAGUUUAAUUAUUUGUAGUAAUUUCUGGUUCACAGGGGAUCAAAAUUUAACUUGAAGGGAAUUUUGGUCAUUCACCAAAGACAAAUUGGUUUUCUGCCUUUGAAAUUUAUGAGUUUUUCUUAGCUGUUUUAAAAUUCCAGGUUCUCCUCGAUCAGUAGUGUGCUUUUGUACUUUCAAAUGCUUCAAAAAACAUUUUAGAAGACUGUCAGAAUUUAGAAAUGAAAAGCAUGUAAAUACAUGAACAACAAUCAUUCGAAAAAAUAGUGUAGUUGGAAAAGGUAUAUAUUCUAUCUCUCUAGAUAUGUCUAUUCUGGGCAUUUCAUUUAAAUGGAGUAAUUCAGUAGGUAGUCCUUACUGAUUGCCUUUUUUUCACUUAGCAUGUUUUAAAGGUUUACCCAUGUAGCACAUAUGUGUACUUCAUUUUUUUUUCUUAUAGCUGGACAGUAGUCAUUGUAUUGCUAUAUCACUAUUUUUUCAGUGCUCUACCACUGUAGUGCAUCUCCACUAGUUAUUUUGACUAUGAAGAAUAAUGCUUUUGUGAACAUUCUCGUACAUGUUUUUGUGUGGACAUAUUUUUUUCAGUGCUUGAGAGUGUUGACCUAGGAAUUGCUGCGUCAUAUGGUAACUCAGUGUUUUACCUUUUAAGAAACUGCUAAAUUGUUUUACACAGUGACUUCACCAUUUUAAUUGCUACUAGUAGUGUAUAAGAGUUCCAGUUUUUCUGUAUCCUUAAAAUCAUUUGUUGUCUUUUUUUGUUAUAAUCAUCCUAGUGGCUGUGAAGUGGUAUUAUUUGCAUUUCCUUGGAGCUAUAGAUGUUGAGUUUGUGUAUGUUUUCAUGUGCUUUUUGUUAGACAGCUUUUCCUCAGCCAUGGCUAUGACAAAUAUCUGAGAAAGACUGCUUAAAGGACGAAAAAUUUAUUUUGGCUCAUGUUCUCAGAAGUUUCAGUACAAGGUCCACUGGUUCCAUUGCUUUUAGGCCUGUAAUUAGGUAGAGACAUUAUGGUACAAGGUAUGGCAGAGCAAAGCUGCUCAGGAGAGGUGAAGAGAAAAGGGGUGGGAGGAAAAAAAUAUACCCUUUCAGGGUAUAUUCUCAAUUUUCUACUUCCUCUAGCUGGCUCCAAGUAGGCCCCACCUCUUACACUUUUACCACCUCCUGGUAAUACAAAUAAUGCCAUCAAAUUGUGAUUCCUUCAAUGUAUUAAUCCAUUGAUAAGGUCAGAGCCCUCAUGAUCCAUCACUUCCCCAAAGCCCCACCUCUGAACAUAGCUGCACAUGGGAACAAGCCUUCAACACAUGAGCCUUUGGAGGACAUUCCAGAUCCAAACUAUAACACUUUUCUGAUUUAGAAAUGAUCUGACUUAGAAAUGAUCUGACUUAGAAAUGUCAGAUUCUUUGCCUAUUUAAGAAAAAUAUUUUUAGUUGUAGAUGGACACAAUAACUUUAUUUUAUUUCUUUAUUUUUAUAUGGUGCUGAGGAUUGAACCCAUUGCCUCACACGUACCCGGCAAGUGCUCUUCCGGUGAGCCAGAACCCCAUCCCCUCCUUUGCUCAUUUUUUAAGUUGGGUUAUUUAUUCUUUUAUUAUUGAGUUAUAAGAAUUCUUUAUGUAUUCUAGAUGUAAGUUCUUUGUCAGCUGUAUGAUUUGCAAGUGUAUUCUUCCAUUCUGAGGAUUGUCUUUUCACAUUUUUAAUGGUGUCUUUGAUGCACUGAAGUUUUAAUUUUGAUGAAGUCCAAUUUAUAAGUAUUUUCUUUUGUUGCUUGUGAUUUAUGUUAUCUCGUGUAAGAAACUAUUGUCAAAUUGGAGGUCAUGAAGAGUUAUACCCAUGUUUUCUUCUGAAAGUUUUACAGUUUUAGAUUUUAUAUUUGGGUCUUGGAUCCAUUUUCGAGUUGAUUUUUGUAUAUGUUGUAAAAAAAAAAAAGAUCCAACUUUAUUCUUUCCAUAUGGCUAUCUAUUUGUGUUAGCACUAAUUUGUUUAAAAGACUAUUUCUUUCCCAUUGAAUGGUAUUCACAUACUCUUUGGAAAAUAAAUGGGCCUACAUGUGAGCAUUUAUACAUAUCUAUUCCACUUAUCCAUGUGCCCGUACCAUACAUUAAA
rnacentral:lncRNA from 1 species